rnacentral:rRNA from 1 species
AACGAACGCUGGCGGCAGGCUUAACACAUGCAAGUCGAGCGAGACCUUCGGGUCUAGCGGCGGACGGGUGAGUAACGCGUGGGAACGUGCCCUUCUCUACGGAAUAGCCCCGGGAAACUGGGAGUAAUACCAUAUACGCCCUUUGGGGGAAAGAUUUAUCGGAGAAGGAUCGGCCCGCGUUGGAUUAGGUAGUUGGUGGGGUAAUGGCCCACCAAGCCGACGAUCCAUAGCUGGUUUGAGAGGAUGAUCAGCCACACUGGGACUGAGACACGGCCCAGACUCCUACGGGAGGCAGCAGUGGGGAAUCUUAGACAAUGGGGGCAACCCUGAUCUAGCCAUGCCGCGUGAGUGAUGAAGGCCUUAGGGUUGUAAAGCUCUUUCAGCUGGGAAGAUAAUGACGGUACCAGCAGAAGAAGCCCCGGCUAACUCCGUG